UUUUUUUUCAUCAUUUUGCGAAAACGGAGUUCCGGUGAUGAAGACAGCGCCGGUGAUGAAGACAAACACAACAACGGUUUCCAGCGAGGUUUUGAGCGUUUGGUUUCGGUUUCCGACUGAUGAAGGCAAACACAGUGACGGUUUCCGGCGAGGUUGUGAGCGUUUGGUUUCGGUGACGGUUAUGGCGAAGGAUGAAAAUGCGAAGGAUGAUGAUGAUGUUGAUGAAAAACGACGGUGGUGAUGAUGAUGGUGAAUGACGGUGGUGUUGAUUUGGUGAACGACGGUGUUGUUGAUGGUGAACGACGGUGACGGAAGAUUGAUGAUGAACGACGGUGGUGGGAGUUUGCUACAGGUGAUGCGCGUU
rnacentral:lncRNA from 1 species